CGUGUAGGCGGCUGAGCAAGUCAGAUGUGAAAUCCCUGGGCUUAACCCAGGAAGUGCAUUUGAAACUGCUUAGCUUGAGUAAGGAAGAGGGAAGUGGAAUUCCUGGUGUAGAGGUGAAAUUCGUAGAUAUCAGGAAGAACACCGGUGGCGAAGGCGACUUCCUGGUCCUAUACUGACGCUGAGACGCGAGAGCGUGGGGAGCAAACAG
rnacentral:rRNA from 1 species